UAUGCACGUGAAGGAACAUGUACUGAGCCGAAAUAUACAGGAUGGGUCAAAGAUAAUUGUGCAAGAACCUGCUUAUGUUCUGGUGGAUCUUAUUACACUGGAAGGUAUGUCGGACCAAGCGGAACUGUUGCUUGCGUCGAUAUACAAGGUAAUUGUGCCGCUUAUGCACGUGAAGGAACAUGUACUGAUCCCAAAUAUACAGGAUGGGUCAAAGAUAAUUGUGCAAGAACCUGUUUAUGUUCUGGUGGAUCUUAUUACACUGGCAAGUAUAUAGGACCAAGUGGAUCUGGAACAGUGAUUGGAACUGGUGUGUCCAGAACAAAGACCGUAUCUUGCGUCGAUAAAAGAGGUGACUGUGCCACUUAUGCACUUCAGACAUGUGUUAAUCCGAAAUAUACAGAAUGGGUCAAAGAUAAUUGUGCAAGAACGUGCU